GGUGAGAUGUAAGGAAGGACGGCAAAGGGGCAGGGCUCCAACUGGCCUGGCACAGAGGAGCCAGGUCAGGUGUGCAUCCCCCUCCUCCCCUGCUCCUUGGAUCUCCAGACCCAGAGGUGAUGGCACUGCAGGGCCCUUGGGCUGGGGGGAGAGAGGUACAGAACUGCCAGGCUCUGACCUCGCCCUCCCCACACAGCUGAGCUUGCAGCCUGCUGAUUGCUAAGGCAGCACUGCCCAGCUCCUGCCUGCUUUCGGAGAGCUCUUAAGGAGGGGGCAGAGAGGUCAGGCCUUGGCGUGGGAAGCAGAGCAGGGCCUGGGAUGCCCCCAAGCCUCUGGGAAGCAAGCAGGGGGAUUGUGUAUGUCUGUCUAGGGCAACUAGAGAGCAACUGAGAAGGUCAGGGGCAUUGGAAAUUAGGAUGGGGCUCAGCUCUUGGGACCCUCUGCUUGAAAGAAGCUGUCACGACUGCCAAGCAAUAACCUCCCAUCCCAACAAGUCUUUCCCAGUAGAGACUUGGCUCUCUGAGGGGGAGUUGACUCUGUUGUCUGAGACCCCAGGGGCUCAUUCUCUGAAGGGGCCAGGAGAAGGUCAAGUGCGGAUCUGGAGACCUGUACAUGGAGACCCACUGGGUCCCUCUGGUUUAGGGAUGGGGAGGUAGCUGGAGUGUCUCAGCCAGACCCCACCCUGGUCCUACUUAUCUCCCCCUGGUCACUCCCUUGAUGACCUUGACCUUGAAUUAACCUCAUAUCUUGGGGGAUGGUCAAGACAGAAUGAGGAGGAAGAUGGACAUUGGAAAGAGCUGUAGAUGAGCAAGUGAUACCAGGGGGAGC